rnacentral:misc_RNA from 1 species
GAACGGUCGGCAGGCGAUCCGCGUCGGUCGUGCGAGGGUGGUAUGGUUCCCCCAGAGGCCGGUUCUUGUGCUGCCUACCCCUUCAGGGGAAUCGGGCCACUUGAUGUAAGCCUCCAUCCGGCGCCUUCCAACGGGCGCAGGAGGACAACAGGGCACCCCCCGCGUUCCANCGAUCCUCCUCGGUCGCGUGGCCCGCGGGGACGUGCGACGCUCUCGGACCCAGCGAACGCCGUGGGCGAGGACUCACGUCCCAGUCCCGAAAAGAAGCUCCGAUAUAAUGCAAGACGGCCGCUCCCGCCCCCCCGGGGGCGAGGCGCGGCGUCGCAGAGGAAUG